rnacentral:rRNA from 1 species
GACGGAGGAUGCAAGCGUUAUCCGGAAUGAUUGGGCGUAAAGCGUCCGCAGGUGGCAGUUCAAGUCUGCUGUCAAAGACCGGGGCUUAACUUCGGAAAGGCAGUGGAAACUGAACAGCUAGAGUAUGGUAGGGGCAGAGGGAAUUCCUGGUGUAGCGGUGAAAUGCGUAGAGAUCAGGAAGAACAUCGGUGGCGAAGGCGCUCUGCUGGACCAUAACUGACACUGAGGUGCGAAAGCUAGGGGAGCAAACGGG